ACGUAGGUCACAAGCGUUGUCCGGAAUUACUGGGUGUAAAGGGAGCGCAGGCGGGAAGACAAGUUGGAAGUGAAAUCCAUGGGCUCAACCUAUGAACUGCUUUCAAAACUGUUUUUCUUGAGUAGUGCAGAGGUAGGCGGAAUUCCCGGUGUAGCGGUGGAAUGCGUAGAUAUCGGGAGGAACACCAGUGGCGAAGGCGGCCUACUGGGCACCAACUGACGCUGAGGCUCGAAAGUGUGGGUAGCAAACAG
rnacentral:rRNA from 1 species